rnacentral:lncRNA from 1 species
UGUUUGUACCUGACACCAAACACAGCUUUGCAUCUCACAUCCCACACCUGAAUCUCCUGAUUUAAAAACUUCUCCCCUCCAUAAAGAAUAUUUAACAAAGUUCCACUGAAACACCCCAGCUUUUGGUACCAACCAGAAUUAAAAUGAGUUGGAGCCCCACAUGCUGAGGUGGUUUUCCAUCUGUCUGGCUCAAUAUUUCAGUUGACUCACCUUUAUGUGCCUCUGUGUUUCCAUACACACAGCACCUUGGAUUUCUCAGAUCCUGUUUCAAGCCCUUCCGAGGAAAUAAGGGCUUGUCUGCCCCGGGGAGCUGUUGUGAAAUACUCUGGAGUGUGAAUUUAAAAUGCAGCACUCUGCCUGCAUUAACUCCUUGUGGGAAUGCUCUGUUCUGCACACAAAAUGCUCGGCAGCUUCCUUUAAUCCGCUCUGCUAAGAUUGGAAUGACCAAAACCAGUGACCUG